GGAUAAAUACACUGGCGAGAACAAGCGACACCUGGAGGGGGUGGAGACAAUCGCAGGAACAGACCUGGUCAAAUUAGGUUAAACUCAAACGUAUUGAAGCAAUUUCGAGGGGUAGCCCCGACCGGGAAUUGAAACACGAGUCCAGUCGACUGUCAAGACAACACCUUAACUGUUAUGCCAUAGGGUCCAAACCGCUUGAAGGGGUUGCUAGGUGUUGGAGUAAGGUCGCUAGGCUUCUCUAUACCAAGUCUCUCCCAUAUACCUGUGUCAAUGUUGGCUUCACAGGCAUCAUCCCACUUCUGACACCAGUGUAACAAUUUCAGGGGUAGCACAGACCAGGACUCAAACCCAGGUACAGCGAAUGUGAAGACAACACCUUAACCAUUACACGAAGACGUACGAACCUCUUGACGAGGUCGCUAGGUGCUGGGCAGUAGCGGUGCGUGAGUAAAAUCACUGGGGAAGCCAAGCCAGGAAAAAAAGCCACAUCUGUCCAGUGGAGUCCACAAAGCAUAUUGUGUAACAAACAGUUACUGAUUUCUCGAACUCUCUCUGUGUGUGUGUGUGUGUGUGUGUGUGUGUGUGUGUGUGUGUGUGUGUGUGUGUGUGUGUGUGUGUGUGUGU